rnacentral:lncRNA from 1 species
UUCUUGGAUAACCAUUGCGUAGGAUUUUUCUUUAGCAUUUCCUGUAGAGGUCAGCCCCUUAUUUGUAUGCCUCAAAUUUGGCUAUUUUUUUGUGGGCUAGAAUACCUGGGUUGCACUUCUCUCUAGUUGGUAUCAAGGACUUGAUGAUACUAAUCUCAAAGAGGCAUAUCUUGCAUCUCUUCCACAACUCUUUAGUCAAGAAACCUGUAGAAUGAUGGAGCUCAAAGGACAGGCGUUAUCCCAUUCUUUGUGAAGGUUGAAUGGCUGAACUGCAUAUUCUCGAAUAUAAGAGAGAUGUUCAUAAUGUCUUGAUUCAGUGAAAUAACCUUGUCUUAGGAAUACAAGUAUAAUAUGGACAUUAACAGACGAAGUUUAUCUGAUUCUUUGAACAUACCACUCUUGUAGCCACAUAUUUUUCUAUCACCAUUCUUUUCUUCUAAAAGCACUAUCCCCCAGUAUAGAAGUGCAACCCAAGUAUUUUAGCCCACACAACAAACAGUUAGAUUUGAGGCAUAUAAAUAAGGGGCCUAACUUUUAGGAUUCACAAAAAUAUCCCUAUUUAUGCCUUUGAUUCAAAUGGAAAACCUAUAUAUGCUAGAACUGAUGAUUCUGGUCAUGAUUUUUGGGAUGUUUGUUCUUGCAGUAGUUGUUUGAGUGCUUUGGUGGAAAAUGCUAGGACUACCAUCAGACUUUGAUGAUUCAGAUGUACCAACCAUGUUAGCAAAUCUGGGAACUCCUUGAUUUGCAAAUAUCAUCUCAAAUUAAAAGUAUCUUGUCAUUUUGUAUGAGUUAUCUGUCAUCUUGUUAUACAAAUAUAACAAGACCACCCAAUAUCUGAAACAGUUUCUUUGAAGACUAGCAAUCCUAUCAUUAGCUAUUGAUGAAUAUCCUUUAGGGGUGUGAUUUUUUCUCUAUGUAUCUUUGAUCGUACAAAAAAU